GCCCUCGUAGCUCAACUGGAUAGAGCGCUGGACUUCUAAUCCAAAGGUUGCAGGUUCAAGUCCUGCCGAGGGCGCCA
rnacentral:tRNA from 1 species